rnacentral:rRNA from 1 species
GAACGGGUGAGUAAUACAUCGGAACGUGUCCUGUAGUGGGGGAUAGCUCGGCGAAAGCCGGAUUAAUACCGCAUACGCUCUACGGAGGAAAGGGGGGGAUUCGCAAGAACCUCAUGCUCCUGGAGCGGCCGAUAUCUGAUUAGCUAGUUGGUGAGGUAAAGGCUCACCAAGGCAUCGAUCAGUAGCUGGUCUGAGAGGACGACCAGCCACACUGGGACUGAGACACGGCCCAGACUCCUACGGGAGGCAGCAGUGGGGAAUUUUGGACAAUGGGCGCAAGCCUGAUCCAGCAAUGCCGCGUGAGUGAAGAAGGCCUUCGGGUUGUAAAGCUCUUUUGUCAGGGAAGAAACGGUUUGGGCUAAUACCCUGGGCUAAUGACGGUACCUGAAGAAUAAGCACCGGCUAACUACGUGCCAGCAGCCGCGGUAAUACGUAGGGUGCAAGCGUUAAUCGGAAUUACUGGGCGUAAAGCGUGCGCAGGCGGUUGUGUAAGACAGGUGUGAAAUCCCCGGGCUUAACCUGGGAAUGGCAGUUGAGACUGCAUGGCUAGAGUGUGUCAGAGGGGGGUAGAAUUCCACGUGUAGCAGUGAAAUGCGUAGAGAUGUGGA